UCAUGGCUUUUUCAAAUGAACCAAGACCAGAGGCUUUCUCCUCCUCCCCCUCCCCAGGCACACCUGUUCUGGGUUUUGUUUCCCCCUGUCUCUCUCAUGUAAGAAGUUGUUAAUUCCCAGGAUGAACUGAUCCUACUGGCACACUGAGGAAGGCAGGUCCAGCCUGCACAUGGACACAGUCACUGCAGAUAUUGCCUUUGCUUGAAACAAUAUCUGAGCCUGGAAUGAGGCAUCGGUCCCAUCACAACACCUGGCCUGGGUGAGGCCUGGGAGAAUCUAUGGACAGGCGUCGGUGCUUUCAACAGGAAGGUGGCUCAGUCUCAUCCUCUUUGGGGCAGCCUUGCCCUGCCCAGAAACACGGCUACGGCCCUCAUUCAGAAUGCUGCUCUGCAGGGACAUCAGUGUAACGGCACAGAGGCAGCCCCGUGUCGCAGUGUCUGACGCCAAAGGAACCAUUCCGAACCGGCAAUGCUCAUCCUCAGCUUGGGAUUUCGUGCUGUUGCCUCCCGCAGUGUGUCAGAGACCGGAUGUUCACAUAAGAACGGCCGUAGCAGGUCAGAGCAAAGGUCCAUCUAGCCCAGUGUCCUGGCUGCCGACAGUGGCCAAUACCAGGUGCCCCAGAGGGAGUGAACCGAACAGAUGCUGGGGGGAAGCCCUGAGACCAGAUCCAGAGUCCGUCCUUCCAUUGGCUUCGAUGGCCUUUGCCUCGCCCAGCUCCAGAGGGGUGCUCUGCAGAAGCCACCAGGCCUAGAGAGACAGAGCAGAACUCUCUGGACUCAGACCAACCGCGUCAUGAAGCACAAGAGAGUGAGGGUGGAGUCAAGUGCCAGCGAGCGGCGGGAGUGACAGAGUGGAGGACGGCCGCCCACCGGACAGGGCUCCUCAGGGAAUCGGCCUGGGAGAUGUGCGCAAGGUACAAUCCAGCACUUACACGUGCUGAAAGCCAAGGCUGCAGCCCCUGGAGUCCCAGCACCGGCGCCGCAGGAUUCCUCAGUCUGGAUG